AUCAAGUGGUCUCAUACUCUGAAAAAACUGAGCUAAAGCUGCCGAAGUGUCCAGGCUGCAUUGCUGGAUUUUCCCAAAGCUGUGUGCUUUGGUGAUGGGGGUACUGAGCCCGAAGGCCUUCCCCAGAGGUUAUCAUUAGUCCCAGAGACCUAACCGGAAGUGCAUCUACAUUCAGUGACAAAACGGCACCGAUGCAGAAGAGGAGACCAGCGCAGGUCUGAGAGCAGGUACCCUGCUUGCCUCUGCUGCUGGCUGUACCCUUCCCUCCCGAGGAUGGACAAGGAUGGCAUUAGGAGGCUUUGGUUUGGCACCUCUUAAGGACAAGAGUUAAUAAAGAAAUGGAAAGAGGC